rnacentral:rRNA from 1 species
UGCGGAGGGGGCAAGCGUUGUUCGGAUUUACUGGGCGUAAAGCGCACGUAGGCGGAUCGUUAAGUCGGGGGUGAAAUCCUGGAGCUCAACUCCAGAACUGCCUUCGAUACUGGCGAUCUUGAGUCCGGAAGAGGUGAGUGGAACUCCUAGUGUAGAGGUGGAAUUCGUAGAUAUUAGGAAGAACACCAGUGGCGAAGGCGGCUCACUGGUCCGGUACUGACGCUGAGGUGCGAAAGCGUGGGGAGCAAACAGG